AUGAAUUUCAGUAGACUUCCCAUGACAAAAGUAGAAAACAGUAUUGCAAGAUGAUAAUUUAAAUAAAAGAAGGAAACAAAAUGGAGCAGAAGCAGUUCUUUAUUUUGGUGAAUUAGGAACAUUAGGUUUGGUUAGAGAAGGAUAAGGAGGCAGAUGGCGCUCGCUGCCGAACAUCUGAAGGAGACGUUUGGGCAUGUGAAGGCUUAUGGGCAGACCCUUGACUGUAUUCAGUAAGUUUUGGACUCAAAGGAGGUGCUCCUACAUGUUCAGCCAUCUCUGAGGAGGCAAAAUCAGCAGGUCAGCCUGGGCCACCAAGCCCGGUGGACAGAAGGAGCACUGAAACAGGAGUCUGAAGACUUUGGUUUCCAUUCCAUAUUUGGAGAUGUAUCUCUAGCCAGGUCAAAAUGUAUUUGCUGUGAAUAUCCACCAACGGGAUUAUUAUGGAUCACAAAUGGAAGCAAGAGAAAAGGAAGAGUGAGAAAGCAAGAUGACAUCGACUUCGCUCGGCUGCACUGGAGGGAAAGUCCUCUGUGGUGCCGAGGAACACCGGUGUGCCCUUCUGCAGCUGGCACCUCUGGGGGACAUCAGCCUCCGAGGUGGCCUCUUACCAACACGGGCGAGACAGCCACAUUCCUGGUCCUCUGACCCGCGACUCCACCAGCGGGAAGGACG
rnacentral:lncRNA from 1 species